ACACUGUGAAACGGUUGUUGUUUUACACCGUAGAUAACCAGGCAGGCAGAAUUCAUCUCCGAGGAACUGGUUCUUUUUCCUUGAAAGCUGAUUCAUGGCCCUUUGGUUAUGGCAGGAAGGGUCCCAGUUCAUCUGCAGAGAUGAGCUGCUCUGCACAGAGGAGCGAUAGGAAUUCAGGAGUUGUCUUCUUGUAGCUAAAUGAUGAGUUGUAGGGGUAAGAUUGGAACUGGGAGAAGAGAGGAUACAGGAGAAAAGCUUGAGUAAAAAGAAGGUGAAAUGGUAGAAAGCUGGACUCUAAGAAGGAAAGUAACUGGUGAGAAAUUCUGACGGAUGGCCAAGGAACUCGAGGAAUGGAGAUGUCUAAUGUUCUAUUUUAAGUUGGUUCCUGCUCCUUGGUGCUGCUCUAUUACCUCGAAACUUUCAGAAAAAGUCUGUUCAGGUCACUAAAUGCCAUUUCUGGCAUCCCUGAACUUGUGAAUGACCAAUGAUCAUAUGAUCAUGUGAGUUACUAUCAUCUCUAACCUGUGUACAACUGCCACAGCAUGAAUUAGUGAAAGGAUACAGAGUAAAGUCAGCAAAGAAGAAAGGCUUUGGAGCAAAGCCAGGAGAAACCACAGGCUUCCAAGUGAACCCUCCCGGUGGAGUUGCAUGAGGACUCACUUCAUUCUCCCAGCAACAGUGUGUGACAACCCAUGGUGGUGUUGCCAAUUGGAAAAGCUCACCCAAGCCUUGUUGUCCAAAGCUCUUAAUGAGGAGUCAGUCAUGGAGACAUACAAAGCCUGUGUAACUGGCCUCGCUGCCCCAAUAACUCCCUCUCCCCCACCCCCAGAGCCAAACUAAGAGUUCAUCUUAAGUCAUUUUAUUAGGAUAAACUUAUUGGGUCAAACUGAUAUAGCCUCUCCCAAGGCCCCAGGGAUACAAAAACAUUCAUCAGUCAGAAUAUUCCAAGGGCCCCCAAAACUCAAGCACCUGCACCUCUUCUCCAAGGACUGCCUUCACACAGCUGGAACCACUUUGCUCACCUUUAAAAAGAGCCAUAGGUACCUAGGAUCUGCCUCCAUGCUGGGAUGGCCCUUGCCUAAGCCUGACAGGUGCAGGAGUGAAAGAGCGAAGCAACCUUGCCUUGUGUGUAGACAACGUUGAGGUGUAGCUUGUAUUCCAGGGUUUCCCUGUAGGAUAGUGUUAACUCUGACCUCUAUGAGACUUUGCCUGAAAUCACUCUCUUGCUUGACUUCCUUUUUUUUUCUUGUCCUCCUACACCCACUCUUUUACUGGUCUCCCUAGCAGCAUUCAGUGAUGUGCUGACACUGGCUAGUUCCAAAAGCUGAUUGUUAGCAACUCUUCCCAACUCCAUAUUCAGAGAUAUCCUGUUGGUAGCUUUAAACUGGUCAUGGUGGAAGUACUCACUAUAGAGUAUUUGUGGAAAUUGUUGAAUGCUUGAUUUAUUUAUCAAGCUUAUUUAUUUUCUUUCCAUAAAGCCAGUUGUUACUCAUUUACUAUCACACCACUGAGCACUUCCUUAAUAAAUCACU
rnacentral:lncRNA from 1 species